rnacentral:lncRNA from 1 species
AUAAAAAAUAAUCAAAAUAAAUAAUUAAAAAAAUUCCUCUCUCUUUAUCCAAAUCUCCAUAUAGCUUUAUCUUCCAUGGACUUCCAAUUUGAGUAGAAUUUCAUCUCUAACUUUGUACUUUAAUCACAUGUCUUAAUUGGUAGAAAUCACUUGUUAUAGAAUCCUUGGAAAAUUAUGAGAAAUGGGAGAAAAGAGUCCAAAAAGGACUU